ACCCAGCUGAUGAGUCCCAAAUAAAACGAAACGCGCGUCCUGUAU
rnacentral:hammerhead_ribozyme from 1 species